CAUACGACCGUACCGCAAACCGACACUGGUGCGCGAGAUGAGUAUUCUAAGGCGCUUGAGAGAACUCAGGAGAAGGAACUCGGCAAAUUGACACCGUAACUUCGGAAGAAGGUGUGCCCUAUUAGUGUGAAGUGAACAACGGAGCAUGAAUGGGUUGCAAAAAAUCGGUGGCUGCGACUGUUUAUUAAAAACACAGCACUCUGCAAACACGAAAGUGGACGUAUAGGGUGUGACGCCUGCCCGGUGCUGGAAGAUUAAAUGAUGGGGUGCAAGCUCUUGAUUGAAGUCCCAGUAAACGGCGGCCGUAACAAUAACGGUCCUAAGGUAGCGAAAUUCCUUGUCGGGUAAGUUCCGACCUGCACGAAUGGCGUAACGAUGGCCACACUGUCUCCUCCUGAGACUCAGCGAAGUUGAAAUGUUUGUGAUGAUGCAAUCUCCCCGCGGAAAGACGGAAAGACCCCAUGAACCUUUACUGUAGCUUUGUAUUGGACUUUGAACAGAUCUGUGUAGGAUAGGUGGGAGGCUUUGAAGCAGGGUCGCUAGAUCUUGUGGAGCCAACGUUGAAAUACCACCCUGAUGUGUUUGAGGUUCUAACCUAGGUCCAUUAUCUGGAUCGGGGACAGUGCAUGGUAGGCAGUUUGACUGGGGCGGUCUCCUCCCAAAGCGUAACGGAGGAGUUCGAAGGUACGCUAGUUACGGUCGGACAUCGUGACGAUAGUGCAAUGGCAUAAGCGUGCUUAGCUGCGAGACUGACAAGUCGAGCAGAUGCGAAAGCAGGACAUAGUGAUCCGGUGGUUCUGUAUGGAAGGGCCAUCGCUCAACGGAUAAAAGGUACUCUGGGGAUAACAGGCUGAUACCGCCCAAGAGUUCAUAUCGACGGCGGUGUUUGGCACCUCGAUGUCGGCUCAUCUCAUCCUGGGGCUGUAGCCGGUCCCAAGGGUAUGGCUGUUCGCCAUUUAAAGAGGUACGUGAGCUGGGUUUAAAACGUCGUGAGACAGUUUGGUCCCUAUCUUCCGUGGGCGCUGCAGAUUUGAGGAAGCCUGCUCCUAGUACGAGAGGACCGGAGUGGACACACCUCUGGUGUAUCGGUUGUCACGCCAGUGGCAUUGCCGAGUAGCUAAGUGUGGAAGAGAUAACCGCUGAAAGCAUCUAAGCGGGAAACUCGUUUCAAGAUGAGAUCUGCCGGGGCCUUGAGCCCCCUGAAGAGUCGUUCAAGACCAGGACGUUGAUAGGUCAGGUGUGGAAGCGCAGUAAUGCGUUAAGCUAACUGAUACUAAUUGCUCGUGCGGCUUGAUC
rnacentral:rRNA from 1 species